rnacentral:rRNA from 1 species
UACGUAGGUCACGAGCGUUAUCCGGAAUUAUUGGGCGUAAAGGGUUUUUAGGUGGUUAAGUAGGUCUUUGGUCAAAGGCCCAAGCUCAACUUGGGUUUCGCCAAAGAUACCGCUUUUCUUUGAAGGUAGCAGGGGUACAUGGAAUGCCCGGUGUAGCAGUGAAAUGCGUUGAUAUCGGGCAGAACACCAAUGGCGAAGGCAAUGUACUAGGCUACUCUUGACACUGAAGAACGAAAGCGUGGGGAGCGAACGGG